CAGUCGCCACGGUAAUACGAGGGGGGCAAGCGUUGUUCGGAAUUAUUGGGCGUAUAGGGUGCGUAGGCGGUUCAGCAAGUCUCGUGUGAAAUCUUCGGGCUCAACCCGAAGUCUGCACGGGAAACUACUGGGCUUGAGUAAUGGAGAGGUGAGUGGAAUUUCCGGUGUAGCGGUGAAAUGCGUAGAUAUCGGAAGGAACACCUGUGGCGAAAGCGGCUCACUGGACAUUUACUGACGCUGAUGCACGAAAGCUAGGGGAGCAAACAGGAUUAGAGACCCCAGUAGUCCCUGUCUCUUAUAC
rnacentral:rRNA from 1 species